UACGUAGGGUGCAAGCGUUGUCCGGAAUUAUUGGGCGUAAAGAGCUCGUAGGCGGUUUGUCGCGUCUGCUGUGAAAACUCGGGGCUUAACCCCGGGCCUGCAGUGGGUACGGGCAGACUAGAGUGCGGUAGGGGAGACUGGAAUUCCUGGUGUAGCGGUGAAAUGCGCAGAUAUCAGGAGGAACACCGGUGGCGAAGGCGGGUCUCUGGGCCGUAACUGACACUGAGGGACGAAAGCUAGGGGAGCGAAUGGG
rnacentral:rRNA from 1 species